CCCUUAGAUGUUCUGGGCCGCACGCGCGCUACACUGAUGCAUUCAACGAGUCUAAAACCUGGUCUGAUAGGGCUGGGUAAUCUUUUGAAUGUGCAUCGUGAUUGGGAUAGAUGAUUGCAAUUCUUCAUCUUCAACGAGGAAUGCCUAGCAAACGCAAGUCAUCAGCUUGCAUUGAUUACGUCCCUGCCCUUUGUACACACCGCCCGUCGCUCCUACCGAUUGAAUGUUCCGAUGAAUACCAUGGACUGAGAGUAUGAAUGGGUUCGCCUAUUUCUGCUUCUCGGGAAGUGGAGUAAAUCUUAACAUUUAGAGGAAGGAGAAGUCGUAACA
rnacentral:rRNA from 1 species